UACAGGGGGGGCAAGCGUUGUUCGGAAUUACUGGGCGUAAAGGGCGCGUAGGCGGUCUUGUAAGUCUCGUGUGAAAUCCCUCGGCUUAACUGAGGAACUGCACGGGAUACUGCAUGACGUGAGAUCGGGAGAGGGAAGCGGAAUUCCGGGUGUAGCGGUGAAAUGCGUAGAUAUCAGGAGGAACACCGGUGGCGAAGGCGGGUCUCUGGGCCGAUACUGACGCUGAGGAGCGAAAGCGUGGGGAGCGAACAGG
rnacentral:rRNA from 1 species